rnacentral:rRNA from 1 species
AGAGUUUGAUCAUGCCUCAGAUUGAACGCUGGCGGCAUACUCUACACAUGCAAGUCGAACGGUAACGCGGAGCAACCUGGCGACGAGUGGCGAACGGGUGAGUAAUGCAUCGGAACGUGCCCAGUAGUGGGGGAUAGCCCGGCGAAAGCCGGAUUAAUACCGCAUACGACCUAAGGGUGAAAGCGGGGGAUCGCGAGACCUCGCGCUAUUGGAGCGGCCGAUGUCAGAUUAGGUAGUUGGUGAGGUAAAGGCUCACCAAGCCUUCGAUCUGUAGCUGGUCUGAGAGGACGACCAGCCACACUGGGACUGAGACACGGCCCAGACUCCUACGGGAGGCAGCAGUGGGGAAUUUUGGACAAUGGGGGAAACCCUGAUCCAGCGAUGCCGCGUGUGUGAAGAAGGCCUUCGGGUUGUAAAGCACUUUAGGUGGGGAAGAAAGGUAACGAGCGAAUAACUUGUUGUUAUGACGGUACCCGCAGAAUAAGCCCCGGCUAACUUUGUGCCAGCAGCCGCGGUAAUACAGAGGGUGCAAGCGUUAAUCAGAAUGACUGGGCGUAAAGGGCGUGUAGGUGGUUGACUAGGUUUGAUGUGAAAUCCCCGGGCUUAACCUGGGAAUUGCGUCGAAAACGGGUCGUCUCGAGUGAGAUAGAGGGUUGUGGAAUUUCCGGUGUAGCGGUGAAAUGCGUAGAUAUCGGAAAGAACAUCAGUGGCGAAGGC